UCCUCACUUGUAUGUUAAUAACAUAAUUUACGUUGUUUCUUUUGCUUUGCUUUUCAGUCUCAUGGAUCUAUCCUGAGCUUUGGGAUCAGAGCCCUGAGUAUUGAGAGCCUAACCUGUGCCAGGUACCUGCUAGACACUGGGUGCAGAAUGCCUCAUAAAGCUGACAGAGCAGACUGUGAAACCUAUUCAUUGUGUGGCCUGUCCAAUGAAUUACAUUUGUUUCCAAGUUCUGAAAGAUGCUCUCAACAAGCACAAGCUGAGAAGACUGACACCGAGAGAAGUUGUGUGACCUGUCCAGUGUCUCAGAGCUAAUCCAAAGGAGAGCUGACACUGGAACCAAGGACUGCAUGACUCCUGAAACCAUACUCUCAAAUGCUGCAUUCCAUAUAAACAAUUCGCAUUGAAAAGUACUUGGCAAUUUACUAAUUGUGCAAGGUUUUUUAAAAUAAUAAAACUUAU